CUCGCCGAGCAGGUCUACUGUCAGCAGCCCAUCGGCUUCGUCGACGCCACUCAGCCGGAUCACGUGUGCCUGCUCUCGCGCUCACUCUAUGGGCUCAAGCAGGCUCCUCGUGCUUGGUACCAGCGGAUCGCCGCCUUCCUUCAGCAGCUUGGCUUCGUGGCCACCCGCUCGGAUGCCUCUCUGUUCGUCUACCAGCACGCUAUUGGGACGGCUUACCUGCUGCUCUACGUCGACGACAUCAUCCUGACUGCUUCCACGACCGAGCUUCUCCGACAGCUCACGGCUCGCCUCGGCACCGAGUUCGCGAUGAAGGACCUCGGUCCUUUACACUACUUCCUCGGGAUCGAGGUAGUGCGUCGUGCGGACGGGUUCUUUCUUCAUCAGCAGCAGUAUGCCCAGGAGUUACUCGAGCGCGCCGGCAUGCUUAACUGCAAGCCCGCUCCUACGCCUAUCGACACGAAGGCUAAGGUCUCCGCUCUUGAGGGCACCCCGGCGCAGGAUGCCGCCUUUUACCGGUCCAUUGUUGGGGCCCUGCAGUACUUGACGCUCACUCGUCCCGAC
rnacentral:rRNA from 1 species